AUGACCUGCAGUGUUAAAUAUUUCUUGAUAUGCGUGUACAAGGGUGUUGGAAUUAUUGUACAUAAGUUAUCCCAUAUUUACUCUGAGUGUUUAUGUAUCUAUUAAUCUCCAGGUAGGCCAAUGUGCAACAGUAUAUGUCUGUAGAGUUGUUUUGCAGGAAGGAGAAGUGGAGAGACGUGAUUUCAUCCCGGAGCCAUCAGUGACAUGCAGGAAGUGCGUCUCCCCACAGAAAUAAGAUUGAAGACGGAGCAUACAGUCCUGAGGACAAGGUCGAAGCGAUUAAACAUGCACCAAGAAGAAGAUAGUGCUUGUAUCAUUAGAGAAGUUGCAGCUAUGUCUUCCCCUCCCCAUUAGUGCUGCAACUUUUGCUGUAACCAGGGACCACCCUAAAGAAAUAAAGAGAGGGUACGGCAAGGUUGCUGAACCUGACAUUUACUUGGUCCUUCAAGCCGGAUACCAACACGCCUGAGGAUUCCAGCAGGUGCGGUGAAAUCCAGGAAAGACCGUGGCCACGGCAAAACUCUGUUAGAGAGAGUUUCUCAGACCCUUUCCGGGACUGGAGAUCAGCCUGCCAGCUGGGAUCCGACGGCUGACAGUGGUGAGUGGAAUUUUACUUAAAAAUUGGCGAAUGACUGAGGGUCAUUGCGCGUAGAACAAACCCUGGAAAUCCUAGGCACUAGCAGGUACUGAAGGACGGCGGAGUCCGAGAAAUUCCGUGAUAAAGUAAAGGACGGCGGAGUCCACUAGCGCAGUUAAAUUCCGUAGUAUAAGUGAUAGGAUGUCGGAGUCCUGCAGUACGUACGCUUAAAUUCCGUGUUGAAAAAGGUGAGUGAUUGUGUGUGCAAGUGGAGAUUAAAAUACCACUAGGUGUUUUAUCUCAUACCAAAACAGUAGGAUUGUGAGUAGCGAGCCUCUUGUGGAUGCAAAGGCAAGAACUCUCCACUCGAAAAAAUUGAAGCGAGGGUUACCACAAAAGGCAGUUUGAUCGCUGCCCUACUGAAAACAACCCAGUUUUUAGAACACCCCAGGUGUUAAUAAACUGGACCAAAUUCUCUAAAAUGGGAAAAGGGGGAAGCAAAAUCGAUCCUAGAGAACAACUGCAGUCUAAAGAUUGGAAAUUUAUAGAAAAACAGGGCCCCGAUAAAAUAAAAUAUCUAGAUAAAUGGAUAAAAGUUUAUGGAUUCGAUGGCCGACUAAAUACUCCGAGAAUAA